GCUUCACGCCCGCACAUGAAAGCAUCUUAUCUUCUCUCGUGCUUGUCUCAUACACGUGAGAGCAUCCUAUCUUCAUCUUCUCUCUCAUGAUAGAUCUCCCCUAUAAAUAGACAUAGAUGAUGCAAUGAGUUAUGCAAGUACUCGUCUCGGUCAAGUUCAGAGUAAGCUCCAUCGAGUUCCAUUUAGCUGCUCGCACAAUUGAGGAUGAGCUAUGGCCAGAGUGUCGCCGCCGGAUGCCCGGCCGGAGAUGAGAAGAAGACGUCAUGGUCGGAGUUAGUGGGGAAGUCUAUCGUAGAGGCCAGAGAGAUCAUCCUCAAGGACAUGCCUGAUGCGGACUGCGGUAACGGAGGACUUGAGGAGCAACCGUGUCCGCAUCUUCGUCGACACUGUCGCGACCACACCUCACAUUGGCUAGCUAGCUAGCUUUGCUCGCUAGGAGCGACGUGCAUGCGUCAGGCGUCACGGAUGCUGAUGACCAAGUAAUAAUUUUCAAUAAUGGAUGCAUAAGUACAUGCUCGACGGAUCAUCCUACUUUUGUGUUUGGGUUAUGGAUCCAUGUGCUCGACUGGUUAAUUAUUUGUAGUUUCCGUUUUUUC